GGGGCGCCUGUGGGAGCCGUGGAGGGAACUUUCCCAGUCCCCGAGGCGGAUCCGGUGUUGCAUCCUUGGAGCGAGCUGAGAGCUCGAGAGACGGGGAUUUAGCUAUGUUGCCCAAGCUGGUCUGGAACUCCGGAGCUCAAGCAGUCCGCCCGCCUUGGCCCCCCAAAGCGCUGGAAUUACAGGCGUAAUGCACUGUGCCUGGCCUUUAAAAAAAAAUUGAGGUUAUUUUGGGGACAGUAGAGCGUCCAGACACAUCCUAAUUUGCAUAGCUGCGCAGUUUUAAAAAAUGCAAUGCAUUUUUACCUGUUAGGUACAGAACCUGCUAAGGCCAUCAAACCUAUUGAUCGGAAGUCAGUCCAUCAGAUUUGCUCUGGGCCGGUGGUACCGAGUCUAAGCACUGCGGUGAAGGAGUUAGUAGAAAACAGUCUGGAUGCUGGUGCCACUAAUAUUGAUCUAAAGCUUAAGGACUAUGGAGUGGAUCUCAUUGAAGUUUCAGGCAAUGGAUGUGGGGUAGAAGAAGAAAACUUCGAAGGCUUAACUCUGAAACAUCACACAUCUAAGAUUCAAGAGUUUGCCGACCUACCUCAGGUUGAAACUUUUGGCUUUCGGGGGGAAGCUCUGAGCUCACUUUGUGCACUGAGUGAUGUCACCAUUUCUACCUGCCAUGUAUCGGCGAAGGUUGGGACUCGACUGGUGUUUGAUCACUAUGGGAAAAUCAUCCAGAAAACCCCCUACCCCCACCCCAGAGGGAUGACAGUCAGUGUGAAGCAGUUAUUUUCUACGCUACCUGUGCACCAUAAAGAAUUUCAAAGGAAUAUUAAGAAGUGAGUGAGCGCUCAUGGGAUCUGGUUGUUUAGAAGCAUGCACCACCUCCCGCUUCACUCUCUCUGUCUCUCCUGCUCCACCAUGGCCAGAAACGUGCCUGCUUCCCCUUCGCCUUCUGCCGUGAUUGUCAGUUUCCUGAGGCCUCCCCAGCCAUGCUUCCUGUACAGCCUGCAGAACUGACUCCUAGAAGUACCCCACCCCACCCCUGCUCCUUGGAGGACAACGUGAUCACUGUAUUCAGCUCUGUCAAGAAUGGUCCAGGUUCUUCUAGAUGAUCUGCACAAAUGGCUCCUCUCCUCCUUCCUGAUGUCUGCCAUUAGCACUGGAAUAAAGUUCCUGCUGAAAAUCCA
ensembl:lncRNA novel transcript